CACACCUGUCCAGCUCCGGUCACACCUGUCCAGUUCAGCAGGCCACAGAACCAGGCAGGCAGGAUGAGCAGCGGACGUGACAGCUCUUCAGAACCCAAUCACACUUGGCUCGGGAGGCUGAGGCGGGAGGAUGGCAGGUUCCAGGCCGCCUCGGUGACUCAGCGAGGCCCCAUCCCAAAACAGGAAGCCUGUGAUGUGGCUCAGCCUCGAGCACCCUGGGUUCUUCCCCAGCACCGGGGGCGACCGGUCACCUUGUGACAUCCGCCGUGCGCCACGGCCUCCUGGACACCGAGCCUUUCCCCCGUGCAGCCCUCUUGGCUGCUGUAAUCAGGUGUCCCGGACGGGGCGACGGACGGCAGAACCCGUUCUCUCCUUGUCCCCCGGCUCCGGCCCGCGGCUCAGUCUCGCCCGGCUCCCCGGCUUCCCUCUGCCUCGCUGCUUCUCUUCUUAGGGAGACACUGGUGUGAACCUGGGGCCACCCUCCAGACCUGUCUCCAUGAAUGACCCUGGCAAAUGCCUCUCUCCAAAUGAGGCCACCUUCUGAGUGCAUGGGCCUCACUGCUGCCUCUGCCCCAGGGCCUUUGCUCCUGCUAUCCUGCCUGGACCACACUCAGAGCCGCCCUCAUGGCUUUGAGGAAUCUGCUCAGCUGAGGAAGCCGAGUCCAAGAGGCGCGGAUUGUGCCCCCGGGUCGCGAGCCAGGGGUGGCAUCGAGGGACCUGGUUCCCAGCUCUCUGGCCACCAGGACCACGUCCACCACCAGGUCUGACCAUGGCUCCUUCCCCUCCAGGCAGCACCGUUGCUCAGGACCGGCAGCCUGCGUGGGAGGGUGCUGGGGCCCUGUGUCUAGCCACCUGCAGGUCCCAAGGCUGGGACGGGCAGGCGCCUGGGCUUCCCGGGACAGCCCGGUCUCCAGACUGGAUACCACCAUUCGCCAGAGGCCGUUCAGCAUCACGUGGCUCACACUCCAGGAAGCGUGUCCCCUGCCAUCCCCGGGGGCUGGUCUGGGUUUGACAGUGGCCGAGGGAUCAGCCAGGGAGGGAGGAGCGGCCCACCCAGAGGCUGCGGGCUCCGGGGCCCUGGAAGCACGGCGUCUGGCCACGCGGUCUGCCCU